CGUUCUCAGGGCGGGGCGAAAUUCCCCACCGGCGGUAUGCGGCCUCGGCCGUGAGCCCGCGAGCGCCCUCCUUCGGGAGGGGUCAGCAGAUCAGGUGCGAGGCCUGAGCCGACGGUCACAGUCCGGAUGAAAGAGAACG
rnacentral:ncRNA from 1 species